AAAUACCCCUAGGGUUAAAUUGACCUAAAUGCAUAUUUGACUGUUGUUAUUUACUGCAUGCCAUGUUAUUAUCUGAUGCAUGGGAUUGGGAUAUUGACGGAGGAAGUACUGAAAGUGGCUUGUCCACGUAUUGGAGGCUUUGCCUCAAUUUACUGUUAACUGAGCAGCAAGGCUGCAACUGUGGAGUGUUGGGCUGGGUGGG
rnacentral:lncRNA from 1 species